AUGACCAGGUGGGCACGAGUUACUACCGCACAUAACAAAAGACCUUUGGCUGCAACAACAUGGGAGGACAUGAAGCAGGGGUCCUUUGAGGGAGAAGGCCAAAAUCUACCAAAGAGUAAACAACUUGAAGCCAAAGGCUCUCUGUUAACAAUGAUGCUCCUCAAGCAAAACACAAAAAGCACAAAAAGAAAAAGGAGUACUUAAAUGAAGAUGUAAAUGGAUUCAUGGAAUACCUAAGACAAAACUCAGGGAUGGUUCAUAAUGGAGAGGUGAUAGCAACAGACAGUCAGGACGUAAGGGAGGAAAUUGCAGUUGCUUUAAAGAAAGGUAGUCGACGGGAAGGGAGAAGACUAAAAAGACCAGCAGCAUAGAAAAAUGCAAUGGUAUGUUUCCAUUGUAGAAAACCUGGCCAUGGGAUUGCAGUUUGCCCAGCUGCCCUUGAGAAUCAAGCUAUGGGCACUGGAGUAUGUCACUGGGGUGGCUCCACAAACCGUGAAAUAACCAAGUGCAAAGCCAAAGUAGACCCAGCUUGUGGUGAAUUUCCUUUUGUAAAAUGUUUUGUUUGUGGGGAAAUGGGGCAUCUGUCCAGAUCUUGUCCUGAUAAUCCCAAAGGACUCUAUGCUGAUGGUGGUUGCUGCAGACUCUGUGGCUCCGCAGAACAUUUUAAGAAAGAUUGCCCUGAGAGUAAGAAUUCAGAUCGAAUGGUCACAGUUGGUCGCUGGGCAAAGGGAAUGAGUGCAGACUAUGAAGAAAUUUUGGAUGUGCCUAAGCCACAGGAACCCAAGACAAAGAUACCUAAAGUUGUUGAUUUUUGAUAAUGAUUAGUACUAUC